rnacentral:rRNA from 1 species
UCGAGCGAGCGGUUUCGAUGAAGUUUUCGGAUGGAUUUGAAAUCGACUUAGCGGCGGACGGGUGAGUAACGCGUGGGUAACCUGCCUUACACUGGGGGAUAACAGUUAGAAAUGACUGCUAAUACCGCAUAAGCGCACAGGGCCGCAUGGUCUGGUGUGAAAAACUCCGGUGGUGUAAGAUGGACCCGCGUCUGAUUAGGUAGUUGGUGGGGUAACGGCCCACCAAGCCGACGAUCAGUAGCCGACCUGAGAGGGUGACCGGCCACAUUGGGACUGAGACACGGCCCAAACUCCUACGGGAGGCAGCAGUGGGGAAUAUUGGACAAUGGGCGAAAGCCUGAUCCAGCGACGCCGCGUGAGUGAAGAAGUAUUUCGGUAUGUAAAGCUCUAUCAGCAGGGAAGAAAAUGACGGUACCUGACUAAGAAGCCCCGGCUAACUACGUGCCAGCAGCCGCGGUAAUACGUAGGGGGCAAGCGUUAUCCGGAUUUACUGGGUGUAAAGGGAGCGUAGACGGUUAAGCAAGUCUGAAGUGAAAGCCCGGGGCUCAACCCCGGUACUGCUUUGGAAACUGUUUGACUUGAGUGCAGGAGAGGUAAGUGGAAUUCCUAGUGUAGCGGUGAAAUGCGUAGAUAUUAGGAGGAACACCAGUGGCGAAGGCGGCUUACUGGACUGUAACUGACGUUGAG